rnacentral:pre_miRNA from 1 species
GGGGGGAGCGCAGGAUCCUGAGCUGUGUCCCGGCGCCCUGGCCUCCUGGGCUCGCUGCUGGAUUCGCGCUCCCAGUCCACGCAGCCCCCU